rnacentral:rRNA from 1 species
UGGGGAAUAUUGGACAAUGGGCGAAAGCCUGAUCCAGCCAUGCCGCGUGUGUGAAGAAGGCCUUUUGGUUGUAAAGCACUUUAAGCGAGGAGGAGGCUACUUAGAUUAAUACUCUAGGAUAGUGGACGUUACUCGCAGAAUAAGCACCGGCUAACUCUGUGCCAGCAGCCGCGGUAAUACAGAGGGUGCGAGCGUUAAUCGGAUUUACUGGGCGUAAAGCGUGCGUAGGCGGCUUCUUAAGUCGGAUGUGAAAUCCCUGAGCUUAACUUAGGAAUUGCAUUCGAUACUGGGAAGCUAGAGUAUGGGAGAGGAUGGUAGAAUUCCAGGUGUAGCGGUGAAAUGCGUAGAGAUCUGGAGGAAUACCGAUGGCGAAGGCAGCCAUCUGGCCUAAUACUGACGCUGAGGCACGAAAGCGUGGGGAGCGAACGGGAUUAGAUACCCCGGUAGUCCCUGAGCGGGCUGGCAAGGCGCAU